rnacentral:lncRNA from 1 species
CCAAAAUUUGCUCAUUUAUUUUCUUUACAUUAAGAUCUCUGGUUCUUACCAGUGGGUCAUUUCAAACUCUAUCUCUGCUUCCCCCAGCUAGGGAUAGAAAGCCACUAUUACAGACAGGGGCUGCAUCCUUCAGGUGCUUUCUGCAGAAAUGAGCUCAAUAACCACUGAAGACAGAUGUUAAUGAUGUCUGUUUUAAGGCAAAUUAUUUGGAGACGAGGGUAACCAAGUGGAGCUGAAUGACACUGGAUGGUAAUAACUUAAUUUGCCUCAGUGACAGUUCAUCAGGUCCUUUCACUUCCAUUUUCUCAUCUGACCAUCAUGACCUUAUGGUGUAAGUAAAAAUGAUUACUUCCCUUUUUUCUUUUCUUCAGAGGGGAAAUCUGGGUUUGGAGCAGCUAUACCAUAUAUCUAAGGUCAAACACCUAAGAGGAACUUUUAACUUGGGUCAUUUAAGUGCAAGUGCCUUGUUUUCGCCAUUUUGCCAAGGACAUGGGGCUCAAGUUUGGGUGUGCACCUGGCUUGCAGCAGAACUGGCUGGGAUGGCUUCAUAACUUCCCUUCUAACAAUAUAACAAUAUGCUUCUGUAAAUUUUCACACUGAAUUGGACAAGAAUCAGAAUAUCCUGUUUUGAACAUCUGCACAGAUUGACAAACAAAAAUGGAACAUCAAGACUGACUGGAAAUGGUGAUGUGAAAUUCAUUAAAUGCUCUUGCAAUUGCCAGAGGUGCCAAGACUGAGGCUCAGAGAAAUGAAAUAACAUGCCAAAGGUCACAGUGUCUAGUGGAGCUGGGGCCAAAUUCAGGUUCGCGUGAUUAAUAACACACAGGAAAAACCCUCAACUUCUUUCAUUCGCCUGUUGAGAUAAAGGGAAAGAGAGUCCCCAUCCAGGCCUGCAGGAGAGGGAGAACUGGUGGAUGCAAAUGAAAAAGCAGAGGCAUUCCUCAGCUCUUUUAUCCCAGAGAUUAUAGUGCUGGAGUUGGAAGAAGAUGGGAGAAACAUAUGAGGAGAGAAGGAAGUCGAGCUCAUACCAUGAUGAAGAAGAUAACUCCUGAAGAUUGGGAAGGGCACUGGCUGGCUCUCAAAGAUGGACAAAUGGCUUUACGACGCUUAAGGGGAUGCUCUGUGGAGUCUGCUUGGGUGCAAAUCACCACCAUGACACACUACCCAUGGUACCGUUUUUCAGCCCCAGCCAUCACUUCAUCCUUUGCUCUGUAGCUUUCUUCAUUUGUUGGGAGAGAGGCUAUUCUUUUACUUGAACUUAGUGGGAGCUCAUUUUGCAAAGAUACAUGCUUCACCAUCCCCUGAAAGAUUUAUAUAGAAGGACACUGUGGCAACAUGUGACCUUUUGAAACUGCUCCCUUGGAAGGAAUUCUAAUGUCCUCCUGUCUAUGUUACCUGCUGUGUACCUACCACUGGGGAAAGAUGCUGAAAAUUUAAUGAAUUGCAGAAAAGCUGUGCAAGCUUCUCUUUUGGAAGAACCUUGGAGAAGAGAGAGGCUGACAGAAAGAAAACUUUCAAAGAAAUUACACUGCCCUCAAGGGUGGCAUCUACAGAGGACAGUGACAGGGCCUUGGAGACGUAUGAUUUCUUCUGCUGCUCAUUUACCUAGGUCUGUUUUCACUCUGGUGACUGGCCACAAUCAUGGGAAAAGUGAAGAAAUCUGAUAACUAUCAAGGUACAAAUUGCUAGAGAAAGAAAAUCGGGACUCUUACAACUAAGGGCUAAUUGAUGUGGAGAUGGAAGGUUUGUGGUGCUAUGUUUUGCAUGUGCCUCUGUGUGUGUUUGUGUGUGUAUAUAUAGGAGGGUAGGAGGUAGAAGAAUUCACAGUACAACCUAAUAAUCUGGGCCAUGGACCCAGCCAAAGAAGCGGGGACAGGGGUUGAAUGGAGAAGCACAUGGGACCAGAUGUACAAUGUAUCUGGAAAACAGACACAUAUACCGCAUCCAGGGAAUAACUGCAAACAGUCAAAUAACAUAUUUUGUAUUCAACCACUGACACAGAAAUUCAUGCACAAUGUAUUUUAUUUUUUAGUGGAAGAGAGAGAACUAUGCCACCCCUUUAAGGUAUGAUGCCAUUCUUAGAAAUAAAUAUUCGUAUAGAGAAAACUAUCUGAAAGGAUAGAUGUCAAAAUGUUUACAUAAGAGAUUAUUUCCGGAUGUAAGAAUUAGAGGGGAAUUUUAUAUUUUUUAUUUUUUGUGUAUGUACAGUUUCUAAUUUUCCUACAUUUAGUAUGUAAAAAGGAAAAAAAAGUAGCACAUUUUUAGAAAAGAAUUCUAAAUUUCUUUUAUAAAUAUCACUAAGGAAACAGAUUUGAUUUGGGCAAAGGGAAGAAGAGAUUAGAAUAGGGGUUGGCAAACUACGACCCUCUGAGCUAAAUCUGGCCUGCCACCUGUUUUUGUAAAUAAAGUUUCAUUGGAAUACAACCACUUCUUUCAUUUAUAUACUACAAACAUGGAGUUUAGCAGUUGUGACAAAGACCCUACGACCUACAAAGCCAAAUGGCUCUCCUAUCUGGUCCUUUACAAAAAAAGUUUGCCUAAACCCAGUUUAGAAGAAUCCUCCUAAUAUGGUCUUACCUAUUUUACCUUACUAGUUGUGUGAGCUUAGGGAAGUCAUAACUUUCACACCUCAGGUUCCUCAUGUGUAAUGAGAUGGAUAACACAUCUUAGACAUUUUAUGAAAAUUAAAUGAUUUAAUACAUAAAUGGUGCUAAACACUGUGUUUGGCAUAUAGUAGAUGCUCAAUAAAUAUUAUGCUCCUACUUAUUUUCUACUUCCUUUAAAUAAAAUGCAUUAUUCUGAUUUCAUGGCAAAUCUAAUGAAACUGCCAUUUUUGCUAGUCAAAAUUGUUCAAUAUUGGCAAUUUUAUAUGGCUCAAUGUAAUCAUACUUUAGCCAUUUACUAUUCUCAUUGCUCUUGUUUAAGUUGUAAUUGCUGAGCUUGUAUCUAUCAAUGUCACCAAGGUAGUUUUAGGGUUAGCUAAAUUGCCACAAACGGCUGGAAACCAAAAUCUAUUAAUAGCAUUGUUCUAUCCAAAUGUGGACACUUUGGGUGUAUGAAACAAAACACUGUAUUUGUAUUUCACUUUGUUACUUGUGUAACACAGGGAAAUCUGCAUUCAAUGCACCUAUGGUGUGACAGAUUAGGGCCUCUUUCCUGCUGCCCUAAAUAGAAGCUUUUUAGAUAAAGGAUAUUUGCUUCCACCCUACAAAACAGCACCUGACUUAAAUUUCAGCAGACUCAGUGAGCUUUCACAGCACUGCGACAAUCACUCUUGGCACUGAGCAAAGUUCUGACACAGUCUACCACAACAUCCUGGGAAGAACUGCUGAAGGGAACAUGGGGCUCAGGAUGCUACAAAAUUUGGAGACUGUCAUUCAAUCGCACUUGAAGAUGAUAUUCUGGGGCUUAGUGCAGAUCCAAAAUAGGAGUUCUUUAAAAAAGUAAAAUGGGGUUUCUCCAAGAACAAGACAGGAAGACCGACUGGAACAUCAAUGGAAUGUAAGUGUAAGAAGUUGCAGAUAGGGAAGUAUAGGAUGAGCUUCAUGAAAAGGAGGCAAAAUCAGGAAACUGAAAGACUAAUCAAAGUAUUCUUAUCAACAGAAAUGAAGAAAGGCUUUUAGUUCAGUGCUAAGACUAUCAAAGGAAGAACAAACCCAAUUUAAUCCAAUCAACACUUAUUAAAUGCCUACUUUAUGCCAGGCACUGGGUUAACACAGCUAGAGAUAGUAAGAUAAAUCAGACACAAUUUCUACCUUAGAGAAGUUUCUGGGCUGGUGGGAGGGAGAUAAACAUGGAACCAAAUAACUUUAAUAUCGUGAUAAAUGUUAUAAUACUAACAAUAAUAGCUGUCAUUUAUUAAUUGUGUAAAAUGUAAAGCAAACACAGAAUGGAAAAAUUAGUUUUGCUUGGAGAGGUCCAGAGAGGGUAGGGAGGAGGGGAAUAAUUACAGUCAGCACCUGAAAAUGACCAAAAGUUCACGAAGCUAAUACUGAGGCAAGAAUGAGAGUGAUGUGCUGUGGUUUCAGGACAGGAUGGAUUGUUGUAAUGGUUAAAAUGAAGCUGACGAAAAACCUCAUAAGCCAAACUUAGGAAUUGUGACGUUAUUCAGUAGGCAUUAAUUCUCAAUAAGCAGGAAGCAGUUUGGUUCAGUCCGGUUUAAAAAAGACAAGAGAAUACUUUCCUAGAGAGCCAUGAGGCAGGAUCAUAGGAAGAAGAGAGACUAAAUGGUUCUGUCUGUGAAAAUUUAGACCAGAAAAGUGGCAGUAAGAAGAGAGAAGAGGAGAUGGAUACAGGAUGCAGCAUGUCUUCAAACUGAAAUGCAAAAGUGGAGGGAGACAUUCUGAAGACCCAGAGGAGAAACAGAUGAAAAGAACUGUGGUGUGGGAGGAGCAAGGGACGGUAGGCAAGGAGAAGACCACAGUUAGGUCACUGGCCUUGGGAAAGGGAACAUCUUUUUUUCCUCGACCAGCCUGGGCAACACGGUGAAAACCUGCCUCUACAAAUAAAAAUACAAAAAAAUUUGGCCAAGUGUGGUAGUGUGCGCCUGUAGUCCCAGGUACUCGGGAGGCUGUGUGUGGAGGCUCUGGGGCUUGUGCCCAGGGUAUCGAGGCUGCAGUGAGCCGUGAUGUCACAUGUCACGUCUCAUUAAAGGGUAUUGAAUGAUACCCAAGAGAGGAAAAAUCUGAUUUCCUUAGCCUGGCCCUCAAAGCAUUCUGUAAUGUAGCUCACAACCUAUUCUUCUGAUCCAUUUUCACCUCCUUUAUUCUUCCCUCCUGAGGGUAUAGAUACCCAAAUGUCUUCGGGACUCAGGCGGGUAACACACAAGGGGGUGAAGUGGCAGGGUCUGAGGCCCUGAAGUGGUGAGUCCAUGGCUCACAGGACGUUAUAUUUUCUUUUUAAAUUCACUGAGAGGCAAACAACAUAUAUACACACAGAGAUUUUAGAAGUUUAACGUUUAUCUUGAGAGGCUUUACCUUCUAAAAUUCUACACAGCAUCAAUCCAGCCUUCUCUAAGCAGACUUCCCAGUCAACCAGGCUUAUAGACAAGAGUUC